CAACCCUCAGGCUCUGCCUGGUGCUGGGCCCCGCCUGCCCGGCCGGCCCCAAAGUCAGUGGCGGCGCCCGCCGCGCUCUGAACGCAGUACAGCCCUCGUUCCAGAGCCUGGCGGCGCGCCUACCGCAGCCCCCAACUCUCGU
rnacentral:misc_RNA from 1 species